GCCUUCGCGGUGUAGUGGUCAGCACGCUCGACGCGUAACCCAGAGGUCAGCGGUUCGAUUCCCGGCGAAGGCG
rnacentral:tRNA from 1 species